CUGCGCCGUUUUGCACCUAGGGUUGAAGCAAACCUAUCUCAUUCCUUUCUCACUUUCAGCAACAGCCACAGCCGCUCCCUAGUGCCUCCUCCUCCGCGCGCUCUCCCUCGACCGGCUCCAUUUCUCUCUGAUUCGCUCACGCUCGAUCAGCGAUCGACUCUGUAGUUGGCCUCAUAACUAGUAUGGUUCUCUCUCUCUCUUUCUCUAUCUCUCUCUCGUUGAUUUGGUCAGUGCUGUUCACGUGCCGUUACAAGCGUUCUCUAAGCUUCGCCUAUAUUGAAUCCUCCUUGUUAAAUUUUUGGCCUAGCACAGGAUCAUUACUCGCUAGAAUGUAUGCUUCAAGCUGAUGAUUAAUGUGACAAGGGCGAGUAGAUCCAGUAGAACAAACUGGGAGUCCGUAGUUCUACCUAUUCUUGAGAGUGGUAGUGUCUUUCAUUCUGGAAUCUUCAAAACUAUGAGAGAAGUCAAAGUGAAGGUGACAGAAUCUUCUGGCUUGUGUACUCUUUCAUUUAAUGGAGAAUCUGUUUCAGUGGCUGAACAAAAGACAUGUUCAUCUUCCUCAACUGUGCAGUCCACCCCUGAAAUUGAAAAGAAGUAUGUUCAUCGUGUUUAUGAUGCUAUUGCACCCCAUUUUAGUUCCACCAGGUAUGCCAAAUGGCCGAAAGUUGCAACCUUCUUGAAUUCCUUGCCUUCUGGGUCUUUAAUAUUGGAUGCAGGAUGUGGAAAUGGCAAGUAUUUGGGAUUAAAUCCUGAUUGCUUUUAUAUAGGAUGUGAUAUUAGUGCACCCCUUAUCAAAAUUUGUGCAGAUAGAGGACAUGAAGUUCUGGUUGGGGAUGCAAUUAAUCUUCCUUACAGAACUGGGUUUGGUGAUGCUGCAAUUUCCAUAGCUGUGUUACAUCACCUAAGUACAGAGAAUAGGAGGAAGAAGGCAAUUGAAGAAUUAGUCCGAGUUGUGAAAAAGGGUGGUUUGGUACUAAUAACUGUUUGGGCUGUAGAGCAGGAAGAUGGAUCAUUGGUUGCUAAGUGGACUCCUCUUACGGAAAAGUAUGUAGAAGAGUGGAUAGGACCGGGUAGUCCUCGGGUUCGAAGCCCUUCUUGCAUCACUUUGGAAAGCAUCCCAGAAACAGAGGAAAACAACAAUUCUAAAGAGCAUGUAAAAGAUAACAGGUAUAAUGCAGAUGAGGAGUUGAGGAAAACUAUGCAUAUAGCUUCUUCAACUGAAAAUGAAUUCCUGGUUUCUGAAGAUGAGAGAACUAACAAAAAUCAACAGGAAUAUUUUGUCCCUUGGCAUUUGCCAUAUCAUCGUGCAGAAGUUAGUGGUGCAUCUGCUUGUGCUCUUGCAAGUGGUCUGGCCAAAAAAGAUGAUAUAAAGGGUGCUGUAGUGUACAACAGAUACUACCAUGUUUUCAGUGAAGGUGAACUUGAAAGGUUAGUAACUGGCAUGAAAAAUGCAGUAGUAAUUGAUCGAUUUUUUGAUAAAUCGAACUGGUGCAUCAUUCUUGAGAAAACUUCAUGACAAACUGGUUGGCACAUCAAGGUGUCUGGGGGGAAUGUAUUUCAGCAUGGCUUAUCUUCUCUUGCAGUGAAUCUGGUGUAUCGUUCAUACCUUUGUGGUGAGGGUGAGCAUCAUUCAACUUAUUGAUUCUAACUCAACUUAUUGAUUCUAAUGUUUGCAGUGAAAUGUGCUUGGUCCAUAGUGGGGUCAGUGGGGAGUUCAAGAUUGUUACCUAUUAGCUUAACAAGGACUGCUUUGUGCUGCCAAUGGUGUGUCAUCUUAUAGCCUUCAUCCACGUCCACUUCCCUUUGCAUUUGAUGCAUUACCUUGCUACAUUUUACUCAUUGUGAUCCACCCAACAGAAACAACAAGAAUGCUAAUUCACCAUUAUUUAUAUACCUUAGUCUGGCGUAUGCACCAGAGACAACCUGAACCUGCCCAUCUUGCCCAAUGGUUAGGCUUUAAGUCUAACCAGGAAGUGGAGGGAGAACAGUUGACUCAACAACUAUGGAGAUACAUUUCCUUCUUAAACAUUGUCAAAUACCCCUGAACCAUGGGAAUUUACUUUUUAAUUAGAUUUAUUUCUUGGUGAACAA